rnacentral:rRNA from 1 species
GACGAACGCUGGCGGCGUGCUUAACACAUGCAAGUCGAACGGCAAGGCCCUGCGUUUGUGGGGUGCCCGAGUGGCGAACGCGUGAGUGUCACGUGUGUAACCUGCCCUUGACUUUGGGAUAACUUCAGGAAACUGGGGCUAAUACCGGAUAGGAGCUCCUGCUUCAUGGUGGGGGUUGGAAAUUUUCGCCGGUUGGGGAUGGACUCGCGGCUUAUCAGCUUGUUGGUUGGGUAGUGGCUUACCAAGGCUUUGACGGGUAGCCGGCCUGGGAGGGGGACCGGCCACACUAGGCCUGAGCUACGGCCCAGACGCCAAUGGGAGGCAAGGGUGGGGAGUAUUACACAACAGGAGGGAGCCAGAGGUGGCGGCGCCGCGUGCGGGAUGACGGCAUGCGGGUUGUAAACCGCUUUCGCCUGUUACGAAGCGUGAGUGACGGUAACGGGUAAAUAAGCACCGGCUAACUACGUG